rnacentral:rRNA from 1 species
AACGAACGCUGGCGGCAUGCCUAACACAUGCAAGUCGAACGAGACCUUCGUGUCUAGUGGCGCACGGGUGCGUAACGCGUGGGAACCUGCCCUUAGGUUCGGAAUAACUCCCCGAAAGGGGUGCUAAUACCGGAUAAUUUCUUCGGACCAAAGAUUUAUCGCCUUUGGAUGGGCCCGCGUUGGAUUAGCUUGUUGGUAGGGUAAAAGCCUACCAAGGCGACGAUCCAUAGCUGGUCUGAGAGGAUGAUCAGCCACACUGGGACUGAGACACGGCCCAGACUCCUACGGGAGGCAGCAGUGGGGAAUAUUGGACAAUGGGCGAAAGCCUGAUCCAGCAAUGCCGCGUGAGUGAUGAAGGCCUUAGGGUUGUAAAGCUCUUUUACCCGGGAUGAUAAUGACAGUACCGGGAGAAUAAGCUCCGGCUAACUCCGUG